AGUGAACGCUGGCGGUAGGCCUAACACAUGCAAGUCGAACGGCAGCACAGUAAGAGCUUGCUCUUACGGGUGGCGAGUGGCGGACGGGUGAGGAAUACAUCGGAAUCUACUUUUUCGUGGGGGAUAACGUAGGGAAACUUACGCUAAUACCGCAUACGACCUACGGGUGAAAGCAGGGGAUCUUCGGACCUUGCGCGAUUGAAUUAGCCGAUGUCGGAUUAGCUAGUUGGCGGGGUAAAGGCCCACCAAGGCGACGAUCCGUAGCUGGUCUGAGAGGAUGAUCAGCCACACUGGAACUGAGACACGGUCCAGACUCCUACGGGAGGCAGCAGUGGGGAAUAUUGGACAAUGGGGGAAAGCCUGAUCCAGCCAUACCGCGUGGGUGAAGAAGGCGUUCGGGUUGUAAAGCCCUUUUGUUGGGAAAGAAAAGCAGCAGGUUAAUACCCCGCUGUUCUGACGGUACCCAAAGAAUAAGCACCGGCUAACUUCGUG
rnacentral:rRNA from 1 species